ACCGGUUCUCAUCCUCCAGGUGAGCGAGGAUCUUCUCUAGCUCCCCUUUGUCAUCGGCCACCAUGGUAUUCUGGGCUUGCUGCCCAAAGUGUCAAGAAGAAUGCUCUUUGGAAUGGAAAGGGCAGAACCAAAAUGGCUAACAAGGAGUUCCUCCCCAAGAUCCGCCAGCCCGGUGAGGAGGCAGCACAGUGACCACCCAUUUUUCUUUAUUUUUCGACAAAUGAGGCAGCUUCAAGAGGUGAAACGAAUUUCCUGAGGUGAUAUAGGAAAUUCAUGGCUGGAGCAUCCAGGGGCCCGAUGGCACUGUUCAGAACUGGUUGCCUCACACAGGUCGGCCC